rnacentral:rRNA from 1 species
AACGAACGCUGGCGGCAGGCUUAACACAUGCAAGUCGAGCGCCCCGCAAGGGGAGCGGCAGACGGGUGAGUAACGCGUGGGAAUCUACCCAUCUCUACGGAAUAACGCAUGGAAACGUGUGCUAAUACCGUAUACGUCCUUCGGGAGAAAGAUUUAUCGGAGAUGGAUGAGCCCGCGUUGGUUUAGCUAGUUGGUGGGGUAAAGGCCUACCAAGGCGACGAUCCAUAGCUGGUCGGAGAGGAUGAUCAGCCACACUGGGACUGGGACACGGCCCAGACUCCUACGGGUGGCAGCAGUGGGGAAUAUUGGACAAUGGGCGCAAGCCUGAUCCAGCCAUGCCGCGUGAGUGAUGAAGGCCCUAGGGUUGUAAAGCUCUUUCACCGGUGAAGAUAAUGACGGUAACCGGAGAAGAAGCCCCGGCUAACUUCGUGCCAGCCGCCGCAGUAAUAC